UACGUAGGGUGCAAGCGUUGUCCGGAAUUAUUGGGCGUAAAGAGCUCGUAGGCGGUUUGUCGCGUCUGGUGUGAAAAUCCAGGGCUUAACCCUGGACCUGCAUCGGGUACGGGCAGACUAGAGUGCGGUAGGGGAGAUCGGAAUUCCUGGUGUAGCGGUGAAAUGCGCAGAUAUCAGGAGGAACACCGGUGGCGAAGGCGGGAUCUCUGGGCCGUAACUGACGCUGAGGAGCGAAAGCAUGGGGAGCGAACAGG
rnacentral:rRNA from 1 species